UGGGGGAUAUUGCACAAUGGGCGAAAGCCUGAUGCAGCGACGCCGCGUGGGGGAUGAAGGCUUUCGGGUUGUAAACCUCUUUCGCUAUCGAACAAGGCCCGCUUAGGGUGGGUUGAGGGUAGGUGGAGAAGAAGCGCCGGCUAACUACGUGCCAGCAGCCGCGGUAAUACGUAGGGCGCGAGCGUUGUCCGGAAUUAUUGGGCGUAAAGGGCUUGUAGGCGGCUUGUUGCGCCUGCUGUGAAAACGCGGGGCUUAACUUCGCGCGUGCAGUGGGUACGGGCAGGCUUGAGUGUGGUAGGGGUGACUGGAAUUACAGGUGUAGCGGUGGAAUGAGGAGAUAUCUGGAGGAACACCGAUGGCGAAGGAAGGUCACUGGGCCAUUACUGACGCUGAGGAGCGAAAGCAUGGGUAGCGAACAGG
rnacentral:rRNA from 1 species